UACGAAGGGGGCUAGCGUUGCUCGGAAUUACUGGGCGUAAAGCGCACGUAGGCGGCUUUCUAAGUCGGGGGUGAAAUCCUGGAGCUCAACUCCAGAACUGCCUUCGAUACUGGAGAGCUCGAGUCCGGGAGAGGUGAGUGGAACUGCGAGUGUAGAGGUGAAAUUCGUAGAAUAUUCGCAAGAACACCAGUGGCGAAAGGCGGCUCACUGGCCCGGU
rnacentral:rRNA from 1 species